GUUAGGAAUAUUGGACAAUGGACGCAAGUCUGAUCCAGCCAUGCCGCGUGAGUGAUGAAGGCCUUCGGGUUGUAAAGCUCUUUAGCCGAUGAUUAUAAUGACUGUAGUCGGAAAAUAAGCCCCGGCUAACUUCGUGCCAGCAGCCGCGGUAAUACGAAGGGGGCGAGCGUUAUUCGGAAUCACUGGGCGUAAAGCGUGCGUAGGCGGUUUUGUAAGUUGGGAGUGAAAGCCCAGGGCUCAACCCUGGAAUUGCUCUCAAAACUACAAGACUUGAAUUCGGGAGAGGAUAGCGGAAUUGUCAGUGUAGCAGUGAAAUGCGUAGAUAUUGACAGUAACACCAGUGGCGUAAGCGGCUAUCUGGACCGACAUUGACGCUGAGGCACGAAAGCGUGGGGAUCAAACAGGAUUAGAUACCCGAGUAGUCC
rnacentral:rRNA from 1 species